rnacentral:rRNA from 1 species
UACGUAGGGUGCAAGCGUUGUCCGGAAUUAUUGGGCGUAAAGAGCGCGUAGGCGGCGCCAUACGACAGGGGUCAAAGCCCCCGGCUCAACCGGGGAGAUGCUCCUGUAACGGUGGUGCUCGGAGUCUGGGAGAGGGACGUGGAACUCCACGAGUAGCGGUGAAAUGCGUAGAGACGUGGAGGAACACCAGUGGCGAAGGCGGCGUCCUGGCCUAGAACUGACGCUGAGGCGCGAAAGCUAGGGGAGCAAACGGG